rnacentral:lncRNA from 1 species
CAAGCCCUCUCAUGAAUAGAUGUAAAAUGCAUCCAUUGAUCCGUUACAGGCUUAUCUCGGAGGCAGAAGAAGCAGGGCUCUUCUAUUUUGAGUCGAAGGAUAAAACUUCUCAUGAGGAUCUCAAAAAUUUAAGCAGCAGCCGCCUGCGCUUAAUAGUAGGUGGAGAAGACAGUCCACAAUAUGAAAAACUAGCCAAAGAUGAACAUGUACACACGGUGUUCAAUGUCAAUCAGCAAUACCUUAAACUCCAAUCCCGUUUGCUUUUGAACAUGAAACAAUUGGCAGUUCUUCAACUAGGACGAUGGCAGCACUCGCCAAAUUAUCAUAUUGAAGUUGAUGAUCAGAAAUUCUUGGAUGAUCUUGGGGUUCAUCACAAGCAUUUGAAGUUCCUAAGCCUUCGAGGAAUUUCUAGGAUCACAGCUCUUCCUGAUUCUAUUGUAGAACUAGUCAGCCUGGAGAUUCUUGACCUCCGAGCAUGCCACAAUUUGGAGAAGUUGCCUGAGGAUAUAGCAUCUUUGAAGAAGCUAACGCAUCUGGAUGUAUCGGAGUGUUACCUUAUAGAGCGCAUGCCGAAAGGAACGGAGAAACUGUCCUCCCUCCAGGUCUUAAAGGGGUUUGUUUUAGGGACUGCGAGGAAAAAUCCUUGCAGGAUCAGCGAUUUGGGAAAAUUGAAGGAAUUGAGAAGGCUAAGUAUAUACAUAGGCCGUGGAGCAGCCAUAGGGGAUGGAGAAUUUGCAUCGUUGAAGGGCAUUGCAUCCCUUUGCUCCCUAACCAUCUCUUGGGGAGUCACUUCUCUGGUGUCGCAAUCAAGUCUUCUGAUAAAUCAGUUUCUUCCAGAACAAUUGGAGAAACUAGAGCUCAUAGGAAUGCCAGAAAAAAGCACACCAAAGUGGUUGAACCCUCAAGAGUUGAAGAACCUGAAGAAGCUGUACAUCAUUGGAGGGGAACUGGCAAGCUGGGAUCACCAGCAACAGAAUGAGCAAUGGUCAGUUGAGAUAUUGCGGCUGAAACACCUCAAGAAUUUGAGCAUCGGAAACAAGGAAGAUGUGCUGAAAAGGUUUCCUCGGUUAGGAUACUUCGAGAAAAAAAAUUGUGCUGACAAUGAUAUCUCGUGGUACUAGAGUAGGGCAGUUUAGAAACUAUUGUGAACAGUUAUCAAGAAGCCCAGGGGAGAGAGAACCAGAGUUCGUGCAGAAACUGUUCUUAUUUGACGAGGGAUGUAGUUAGAGUAACCAUGUACCAAUACUGUAACAUGACAAAUGAAUAGUCCUUUGCUAUUGAAGCUUUAUCUUACUUCAUUGCUGGUCUAAUUUUCUUUUGUAAUGACUUGCCGUGGUUAUACGAUUGCUGCUCAUAAAGAUUGUUUCUCCGCCUAUUUGAUUAGAGUACUAGUUACAGGUAUUAGCAGAGUUUCUUUUAAUAGCUGAAUCAUUUAUAUUGGUUAUGUUGUAGCUGAGUAGAACGAGCCUUUGUGGGGGCAAGAAUGUAAUACAAUUUCAAUCUGAUGAUUUGGCAUGGAAGAGUAAAAUAAAGUCACAUCCCCUGUUGGAGAACUCAUGUAUAUUCAAUUCACAAAAACUCAGCAUAAAAGGGUGUUACAUAUGCAGAAAAGUUCACGAGUAGAAGAAUUUGUAAAUGCAUAAAUGGUGAUGAUAUCCUACAUAAAUGCAUCGGCUAAUUAUAUAGGUGGAAGUACAGAGACGUUGGCAUUUCAAGGAGGAGGAAAUGAUGGGGAGAGAGGGAGAGAGGGAGAGAAAGAGCAGCCAACAUCUUGGGACAGCUUUCUAGUUUCUAUCAAUCCCUGCGGAAGCCUGAGCAGGUAACAGUGAGCCAAAGCCAUGGCCUUUGAUGUAACCUGAAACCUCUCUCAUCCAAGUGAUACUUUUCAAUGUAGUUCCUAGACAUCUUCGAACAUUGUUCUGUCUCCAGUGGCUUAAGAUGAUACACGUAAAUGUAAUGACGGGAAGGUGAGUUCGUCCAUGAAGAGGAAAAAGGAAUUGCGGGGAGGAGAGGGAAAUUUUUGCGUGUAGCCAUUUAGGACGUCCCGACAAGUUAAAACUUCAAAUUACAGCACCCAGAGCUGUAAAGGAGUCGGAAGCAACAGAGCUUCUGGAAGCUAUGAACCGUUUACCAACCGGCCAACCGGCCAAACUUACCUGCUUGGGGUUAAGAAGCCCAAGGGACGAAAACUACCUUUAUUCAUUGCUUCUCCCUUGUAAUUAUGGAAAUUCUUGAACAAAUGCCGUUGUAAUCUUUGUAUUUACCUGAUAUUAUUGUUCUUUCAUUUGAGACGGUUUUGAACGUCAUAUUAUCAAGUCGUAGUUGGGCAAAUCCAUGAUUAAUAACUUGAAGCCAAGUGUAGGAAGUCAAACAUUUUAUAUUUGCCUUUAUUUGCGGUAAAAUAAAAAGGGAAGCCGAUGCCUUCCGCAUGAGACUAAUCAAGAUCUGUAAUUUGGCUUUUCUGGCUUUUUUGGAUUUUCUCCCAUUAAUUUGUUUUGUGAAAAGUGAAUAAUUUAAAAAAUUGUUUGCAUUGCUUGAAAUAUAUUAGUUAAUGAUAUUUUUUAAUUAUUGACAUAAAUUUAUGUUUAAAUAUUUUUAUGGAUAAUGAAAAUAUUUUUCAUAUAUUCAAUUUUUAUGAACGAUAUAAGCGAUCAUUUUUAAAAAAAUAUUUUUCAAAUUAUUUAUUUUUUGCACAACAAUCGCAACCUUAGUUCUCUUUGAAUUUCUUCAGAAAUUAUCUCUUAAUUUGUAAGUAUGUCUCUUCACGGGGUAAAGAGAAUGUUGUAAUAUAAUAUGUUGAAAUGAUAGGGUCAUGUAGAUAAGUUAAUGGGAGUAUUUUUUUUUGUUUUUGAUGGCCCUGGAACUCCCGUACAGCUGGCAACCGGCGAAAUAAACCAGGGGCGGCUGCUAGCCCAGGACCCACGUACUUGCAUUCUUGAGAAAAUUUAAUAGCAAAUAAUUAAUUAUAAUUGAAAAUUUAGCAUUACAAUCACUUACGCGUUUAGAUAUUCUUUAUACCUAAAUUUAAGGCUAAAUUUAAAGUAUUUAUAAAUAAAUAACUCAAUAGAAUGUAAAACUCGCAGCACAAAUAAUCGGUUUUCAAGUCCCAAGCAAAGGGCUAUAUGUACGCCAAAAAUCAAGAACUCCUCUACUGAUCGUCUUUCUUUGCGUAUAGCGGCUCCUUCAACGCUUCUCGGCUUUGUGCGGCUCUCCUCUUAAGGACUACUUGGCUACUUAAAGUAGAAAAAAAGAAAUCUUUUCUAUUUUUGUUGGACAAAGACUUAGGCCCUGUUUGUUAAUGUUCUUUAUUUCUGUUUAUGAACAAAAUUUAUAUUUUUUUUUUCCAGGGAACAAAAAAAGAACAGAAACGUGUUUGUUUGCGUUUUUGUUUCAAAUCUAUUUUUUUUGUUCUCAGGAACAUAUUUGGAACAGAAACAAGAAACAAGAAAAACGUGUUUGUUGUUUAUGGAAUAAUUUUUAAGAAUAAAUUUUCUCUCUCCUCUAUUUUUUUUUUCUUUUUUUUUUCUUAUUUUCUUUUUCUUUGGCUGAUCGUCGGCCUCGGCCGUGGCCGGUGACCAACCGUCGAGGGCCGGCGACCUUGCCGGAGCAUCGCCGGCCCCUAACGAGGCUCGCCGGCCUGGCGGUGGCUCGGCGAGGCUGAGCCUUGCUCGCCCAGAUCCGGCGAGCCUCGCCCUGGCUGGGCGAGGCCGCCGGCCAAAAGAAGAAAAAAAGAAAAAAGAAAAAAAAGAAAGAAAAAUAAAAUAAAAAUAUUAAAAAAUUAAAAGAAACAAAAAAAAAGAACACAAAUUUAUCAAACGUGUUUCUGUUCAUUUUUUAUUUCUGGAACAAGUUUAUCAAACGCGUUUUUUUAUUCAAAAAUUAUUCCCCAGAACAAAAUUACUUUUUUUAUUUUAUUUCUAUUUCCUGAUGCAAUUUUUAAACAUAAAUAGAUAUAACGGAAAAAGUGCGCCCCUUAUUUUGUCUUUUAGCGGCAGGGCUCUUCGCGAUCAAAUUUUGGAAAACACGGUCUUCCAUCGACGAGCCAUUGCCUCAGAUUUAAAGCUCGUCCUGGAGAUGAAGAUCAACGAGUUCCUCCAGAUCUCCACCAUCUUAUCUCAUAUUCACCCUUCUCUCUCGAUCCAAACUCAACCCAACAUCGAUCCACUCUCUCGCUCACUCAAAGUUUAUAUUUUUGUCCCCAGUCCGAUGCGUAAAUGAAGGCUCCGACCACAUGUCGGUGACCCGAGCGAGACCCAGAUGGGAAAACACGCUUUCUGCUCCGACCUGUUAUUGCUUGCUUCAUUCUGAACAGAGAAAGAAAAACAGAUGAUGUUUCAUACUGUGGACGGAACAGUGCUUUAUGUAUCGAAGGCCGUGAGCGACGGCUCGUUCGGUUGGCUCGGACGCAGCCGGUGACUCCACCGGGUACUGAACGAGGUAGAUGGCGGUAGACGGAUGAGGAAAAUGAGGGAGGAAACACAGGAGUUAAUUUUUUAUUUUUGUUUAUUUACUUGCCACGGCACGGACACGUGUCAACUUUUAAUUGACUUUAAGAAUAAAAAUAUAUGCUAUGUCAUCCUAUCACAUUCUGAUUUCUCCAUCUACUACUUACGGUGCCAGUUUAUUAGGGCGCGCAUGACAAAAUUUCUAUUUCUCGAUUUCUUUGUUUCUCUGUUUCUCUGUUUCCGGAACAGGUGUGGAACAGAAAUCCAUUUAGUAACACAAUUUGAUUUCUCUAUUUCUGAAACAGAUUUCUUUACAGAAAUAGAGAAAUUAAAGAAAUCAGAAACUGGAAUUUUUAACUUCUCAGUUUCUGAAAUAUAAAUCAGAAACUAAAAUCAAACCAUAUAAAAGAUCCUUGCGCUUUCUUGCUAACUUAAUUCACUCAUAACCACAACUUCACAAAUUAUUGCUAAUUUUCUUUUAUUAUUUUGCUCAUGCUUUUGUUUGCAUUUUUUUUUAACUUUUUUUUAAUAACUUCCUCUUUAGGAUGAAAGUCCUCAAUUUUCAAAAACGACCAAAGUUCUUAAGUGCUUACUUAAAAACAAUGGGGCUCUUUCUUCCUAGAAAAGGCACACACAUGGCCAGUUGAAGAAAAAGUUCUUACGUAAUAGAUGAAUAAAAAACGUGCCUAGAAAUUUAACCUUAUUUUUUUACGGAUUCAAAAUUCUUGCAAAAUCAAAAUAAUUAGAUUGUUACACAAUCUUGAAUUUUAAUUCGAAGGCAAGAGAUUCAAGAGAAUCUCUCUCUUUGCUAUGGAAUGGCCAUUAAAGGUUCAUUGAGCAACAAUAAAGAAAUUAGGGAUGAGCAACUAGACUGAUUCAAUUUGAGAAUAAAAAUAAACCGACCUUCCCCCGAUUGGUUCCUAACCAUAAACGUUAUUUUAAGGUAGAAUUAUCAUAUAUUACUUUACACCAUUAAUUUUAUUUUGUUGAUAAUCUUGUAUAAUACUAGUUUUUGAUAAAAUGACAAGGAUGUAUAGGCGCCAUUGAUGGCACUCAUAUUCAUGCUUCCGUAGUACUUGUCUGAACCUACACAGGAUGAGCUUGCAAAUGAUACAUUGACCACGCAGGAUGAGCUUGCAAAUGAUACAUUGACCGAGAAGGGAAACCAAAUAAAUACGCUUAGGAAAACAAUUGUUAAUAAAAUGGCAAUGGAUAAUAAUAUGCCGGAAAUUUCAUGAAAUUCCAUGAAAUUGUAUUUUCAACUUUUAUAAUGUAUUAGUAUUAUUUCGACUAUUAUUUUGUAUUUGAGGAUUUCCUAUGUUGUUAUCUAAUCAAUUUCUAUUCUUAAAAAUAGAAAUUUUGUUCUGUUAUCAAACGGAUUUUUGUUUUAAAAAUAGAAAUUUUGAGUCAUUAUCAAAUGGGUUUCUUUGCUCGGAAACUUGUCCGGGAACUAGAAAUUAAGAAAUUGAUUUAUUGCCAGAAAUGAAUUUCUGUUUCAGAAAUUUUGUCAUGCGCAGCCUUAAUAUUCAAAUAUGGGUCACCGAAUUUGUAAGAAUUGCUUUCUUGACUUAGUCAAAGAAUGGGUCCAGAAACCAAAAAGAGGGGCAAAAGAAAAUGAAAAGAUAAGUGGAUGUUCAGCUAUUAAAGGGAAAAAGCACAUGCACGGGAAGGAAAGAGAAAAGAGAGUGGAACGAAAGGAAACAGAGAAAGAAGAAGAGGAAGAAGGAAGAAAGGGAUUCCAUGUACACGAUCUGGAUAUUCCAACAAGCCAACUCAACUCCGAAUUGCGACGCCGGUAAGGAUUCAAGCCUUUCGUACUUGUAAUCGGAAAAGUUUUUGGAAUUAAGACUUAAAGUCGGAAUCAAAUGAAAUUUGAGUUGCGAACUCCGAUUAUGGAGUUGUUAAACUGAAAAAUUAUGGGGUUUUGAUAGUUUAAGGUGAUGUGGAGUUAUAGCAUUUUACGGAAUUCGAUUUGAGCUUAUGAUUUGUCCAAAAAGAGUUUUGGACGUUUCCACGCACGAUGAACAGUAGACUUUCAGCAACUUUUGAGCCAAAAUUUGUUGAUUUUCGGCUAAAUUUUAGGUUGGCCAAGUUAUGAGUGUUCUAGUGUUUGGAAAAAUCUUUCUUUUGACUGUAAGCUCAUUUGGAACGGAUUUAGGUGAGAGAGUUAUGGCACGAUCAAGUUAUGCACUCAAGUCCCAUGUUGCGAACGGCUCUAAAUAAUCGCUUUGAACGAGUGAUUUGUGAGCACCUGUGAGUCGUUUUAUUAGCAUUUAAGCUUAAUUUAGUUAAAUCGUAAUUGAUGUAGUGUUUUACUUUAUUUUAAUGUUGGGUCUCACUUAUUUAAUAGGAUGACGAGUUCAAAUGGUUCAGGUAUUCUCCGAUGAUUUGUCAUAGGCAUUCCAGGUGAGUGCUAUCUCAAAAUAUUAUAUAUAUAUUGAUUUGUGAAUAUUGAUUUAUGAAGAAUUCUAAAAUGAUGCAAAAAAUAUAUUGUGAGUUGUGUUCAGUUUGAUGAACGAAAUUUAGAAAGAUUAUGCUUUUUGUUUUGUGAAAUCAAUUGCACAUUGAUUUUGGAUUUGAUUAUUGAUAUUGGAAAAUGUGAGUUUGAUGCUCAAUAUUUUUGUAGGUAUGCAUAUUGAUUUAGGAUAUCCUUUUUAACCGAGUCACCGGCUUUGUAAGUGAAGAUCUUGCCAUUGAUCUGUCACUAGGCAUUAUAUUAUAACCAUGGUAUGAUAUUAAGCAAAAGAUUGGUUGCUGAAUGGAACAUUGGAGUGUGUUUUGAUAUAAGAUGGAUCAAUGAAUUAGACUAUUGAUGUGUGAUUUUGAUGAGAUUGAUCAAUGGAUUUGAUCAUUCAUAUUUAUGAUGAUUUAGGUGAGUAUUUUCCGAAUUGUGUAAAGCUUGUUGAAAUGAAACAAGUCAUACAUGAUUUUGUUAUGUAUAUUAUAGAGUUAGAUCAUGAAUUUUCUGGUAGUGCUUGACUAUGCAUAAAAGAGAUUAAUUACUCACUGAGUUGUGGGUGCUCGCUCACUUAUCUCUUUCUCGUUCUUUUCAGAUUUACUAUGGGAACUUUUGGGAGUUAAAUUUGGUGGUUUGAGGCUACGUGUCCUUCGGUGGUGUCAUCCCUUUUAUGCUAAGAUUCACGGUGUGACAAUAUCUUGAAUCCUAUUCCUAGAUAGAUCAUUUCACCGUAAUAAUGGAAAAGUCUCUGUAUGAAUCCAUGUCUGGUGACACUAAAGAUAGGACUAAAGUGCAAUCCUGGGAAGAGAUCGUGCAGGCCAUGCGCAACGACAUGAAUACCGACCCGUCUGAAGACCAGCUCGUCACGUUAGAGGGCCUUGUGCAAGGUUACAGGAAGGUGAAAUCAUUUUCGAAACAUCGAAAGAAUCAAAGGGAAGUUCCACUUCCAAUACUAUCUGAAGGUUGGCGUGAACGGGCCGAAGAAAGCAAGAACCUUCCUAUGCUUAGUCAACCCAAUGAAUGGAGUUCUCCGUUGAAGCGCUGCCUUCCUUCUUUUGCGAUUUUCCCUGAAAAUUCAAUUAUAAAGAAAAGAAGUUUAAUAUAUUGGUGGAUAGGACAGGACUUAGUUUCCCAAAGAGGAGAGAAGACGGCAGAGCAAGUAGGUGAAGAAGUCUACAAUGAGCUCCUACAAGGAGGCCUAAUUGAACCCGACGAUAACGAUCCAAGCCCUCUCAUGAAUAGAUGCAAAAUGCAUCCAUUAAUCCGUUACUGGCUUAUCUCGAAGGCAGAAGAAGAAGGGUUCUUCUAUUUCACGAAGGAUAAAACUUCUUCUGAGGAUCCCGGAAAUUUAAGCAGCGGCCGCCUGCGCUUAAUAGUAGGUGGCUUAAUAGUAGGUGGAGAAGACGGUCCAAAACAUAUAGAUAUGGCUAACGAUGAAGAUGUACACACGGUGUUCAAUGUCAAUCAGCAAUACCUUAGCCUCCAACCCCGUUUGCUUUCGAACAUGAAAAAAUUGGCAGUUCUUCAACUAGGACGAUGGCAGCACUCGCCAAUGCAUCAUAUUGAAGUUGAUGAUCAGAAAUUCUUGGAUGAUCUUGGGGCUCAUCACAAGCAUUUGAAGUUCCUAAGC